GCUGGGGUGUUGCUAUACGGUUGCUAGGGUACUUGGGGUGGUUGCUAAGGUGUUGCUAUGCGGUUGAUAUGGUACCCGGGGCGGUUGCAAAGGUGUUGCUAUGUGGUCGUUAAGGUACCCUUGGUGGUUGCUAAAACGUUGCUAUGCGGUUGCUAGGGUACUUGGGGUGGUUGCUAAGGUGUUGCUAUGCGGUUGAUAUGGUACCCGGGGCGGUUGCAAAGGUGUUGCUAUGUGGUCGUUAAGGUACCCUUGGUGGUUGCUAAAACGUUGCUAUGCGGUUGCUAGGGUACUUGGGGUGGUUGCUAAGGUGUUGCUAUGCGGUUGAUAUGGUACCCGGGGCGGUUGCAAAGGUGUUGCUAUGCGGUUGCUAAGGUACUCAGGGUGGUUGCUUGGGUGUUGCUCUGCAUUUGCUAGGGUACCCGGCGUGGUUGCUAAGGUGUUGCUAUUUGGUUGCUAGGGUACCCGGGGCGGUUGCUAAGGUGUUGCUAUGCGGUUG